rnacentral:rRNA from 1 species
GACGAACGCUGGCGGCGUGCCUAACACAUGCAAGUCGAGCGGAGAUAAGCGGAUGGUAACUGAAGUUUGUCUUAGCGGCGGACGGGUGAGUAACACGUGGGCAACCUGCCUUGGAGUGGGGGAUAACACCGGGAAAUCGGUGCUAAUACCGUAUAACAUACACAUACUGCAUGGUGAGUGUAUCAAAGGAGCAAUCCGCUUUAAGAUGGGCCCGCGGCUGAUUAGCUAGUUGGUAAGGUAACGGCUUACCAAGGCGACGAUCAGUAGCCGACCUGAGAGGGUGACCGGCCACACUGGAACUGAGACACGGUCCAGACUCCUACGGGAGGCAGCAGUGGGAAUAUUGCGCAAUGGGGAAACCCUGACGCAGCAACGCCGCGUGGAGGAAGAAGGUCUUCGGAUCGUAAAGCCCUUUCAGCAGGGAAGAAUGAGGCUGGUGUAAACAGCGCCAGACUCGGGACGGUACCUGCAGAAGAAGCUCCGGCUAACUCCGUGCCAG